GGGGAAUAUUGGACAAUGGGGGCAACCCUGAUCCAGCAAUGCCGCGUGUGUGAAGAAGGUCUUCGGAUUGUAAAGCACUUUCGACGGGGACGAUGAUGACGGUACCCGUAGAAGAAGCCCCGGCUAACUUCGUGCCAGCAGCCGCGGUAAUACGAAGGGGGCUAGCGUUGCUCGGAAUGACUGGGCGUAAAGGGCGUGUAGGCGGUUUUGACAGUCAGAUGUGAAAUCCCCGGGCUUAACCUGGGAGCUGCAUUUGAGACGUUAAGACUAGAGUGUGAGAGAGGGUUGUGGAAUUCCCAGUGUAGAGGUGAAAUUCGUAGAUAUUGGGAAGAACACCGGUGGCGAAGGCGGCAACCUGGCUCAUUACUGACGCUGAGGCGCGAAAGCGUGGGGAGCAAAC
rnacentral:rRNA from 1 species